UUAGGUGGUGCGCCAUUGGUAACCUGGGAGCAGCUAGAUAUUUUUGACAGCCACCUACCACACUCACUUUCCCCACUUCAUUCUCUCCACCUCUACCAAGCUUGGUCUCGGCUGCCUCCUCCUCCUCAUCUCAUUUGCACCAUAGAUUCACCCAAAUUAAGUGGUUAAAUUUCCUUUUUUUUAUAGGUAAGUAAGGGGAAAGCUUUGUUUAUGUUCUAGAUAUACUUUUUUCUCCCUCCAACAACGUACACACUUUUUAUGGCCUAGAUCUACGUAUGUUUGUGGUGUUGCAUAUGUUUGUGUUUGCAGGUACCGGUAUUUGAAAUGCGAUAGUUACCAAUAUUUUUCCGGAAUAUUGAUUCAUUUCCGUUUCCGCGAGAAUUUGGCACUAUACAUUCUUUUUGGUCCUAUUUUUAGGCAAAGUCAUGCCAAAUUUUAUUUUGGUUCUAAAAUAUCAUUUUGCUCUACCCCGCAGGCGACCAUGGUCCGCACGAUGACCGAAGGCAUCGUGAAUAGGUCUUUGAGCUCCACGAAGGCCGAGAUGCUUCAAAAGAACGAGACGGAGAUAAGAUGUCUGUGUCGAAGAUGCAAGCUGAAGAGCCUUAUGACCCGGAUUCCGGACAGGUGUGGGACCACCUGCUCUUGCGUGGUUUCAUGGAUGCUAUCGGUGGCAAGGUGAUGAAGAUGAUUAUGAAGUCGUCCAUGGGGGCCGGGCAAGAAAUAAGGAAGGGCAGCAAGACAACCGCGGCGAGGGCGGGCGAGAAGACGAAGAAUCUCCAGGACAUGAUCACGAAGUAGAUGCAGGACACAGUCAUCAUGUAGAAGAUGCCGGACAUGAUGAUGAGGAAGAUCAAGACGAAGGGCAUGAUCAUGAAGAUGAAGAUGCCGGAGCAGAUGAUGAUGGACCAUCGAUGGGCUGGGUGCAGGACCCUCAUAUUCAAGAGCUGCUUCUCAAGCAGACGGGUAACGCAAGAGCUGCCGCCCGAGAGAAAGCCAAGCUGGAUCAACUGGAGAUAGACGCGGUUACUCCAUUGUAUGAAGGAUGCAGGCCCGAGGAUACCCGCCUGAAAGUAACGCUCAUGGCUCUGGAGAUGAAGGUAAAACACAAAAUGACUGACGCAUGCUUCGACGAGAACAUGUCAUUCUGGCACGAACGUCUUCCCAAGGGGAACAAGUGCCCGACCAAUUUCGAGGAGGCGAAGAAAAUCAUGUGUCCUCUGGAUUUACCGCACGUGAAAUACCAUGUGUGCAUGAACAAUUGCAUCAUUUAUCGGGACAAGCACGCGGAGUCUACCAUAUGUCCGGUGUGCGGCGUCAAUCGAUACAAGAAGAGGAAGAAAGCUCCUCGAAAAGUGGUGUGGUACUUUCCGAUCACUCCUCGUCUGCAGCGGUAUUUCACGGACCCUAAGCUAGCAAAGCUCCUGCGUUGGCACGCGGAUAGGGAGGAGAAGAAGCGAGAAGAUGACGGAAAUGGUCUGGAGAUAAAUAAAAAAGACAAGAUGCUGAGUCACCCUAAGGAUGCGAGCCAGUGGCAAGCGUGGAACUUCGAACACCCAGAAUUUGGGGACGAUCCAAGGAACAUCGUGCUGGGCGCGAGCACCGAUGGAGUCAAUUCGUUUGGCAGCCAGAGAAGCACACAUAGCACCUGGCAUGUGUUUGUGUGGAUGUACAACCUUCCCCCUGGUUGUGCAUGAAGAGGAAGUACAUUCACAUGAGUAUGCUAAUUGAAGGGCCGAAACAACCAGGGAACGACAUCAAUCUGUAUCUGGGGCUGCUGAAAGAGGAGCUAGACACGCUAUGGUAAACGCCAGCCAAUACGUGGGAUGCCGCAGAGAAAGAAUAUUUCCCUAUGAGAGCCGCACUGCUCACGAUGGUGCACGACUAUCUCGGUUACAGAUAUGUAGCGGGGCAGGUGGUCCACGGAUUUUCUCCAUGCGUCAGGUGCAUGGAUGACACAACGUAUCGCCAGCUAGAUAGAGAUACCGGGUCUUCGAAAACCGUGUUCAUGGGACAUCGAAGGUGGCUUCGCGACGAUGACUCAUGGAGAAAACGCAAGGAUCUGUUCGAUGGUGAAACCGAACCCCGAAGACGCCCGCGUACGAGGAGAGACGAGGAAAUAGACGAGCUGUUGAAAAAUUAGAAAGAGUGCCCACCGCCGGGAAAGAAGCGAAAGGCGCCAGAGCCGGGAAAGAAGCGAAAGGCGCCAGAGCCGCUGCUGAAGGUAUGGAAAACAAGGUCUGUUUUCUGGGACUUGCCGUACUGGAAGAUCCUCCGUGUGCCUCACAGCCUUGAUGUCAUGCAUAUCAUGAAGAACGUGUGCGAGAGUCUGCUUGGUACCCUGCUCAACAUGCCAGAGAGGACCAAAGAUGGGCCGAAAGCAAGGGCAGACUUGAAAUCAAUGGGCAUCAGGGAGGAGCUUCACGCUAAUGAUGAUGAUGAUGAGGCGAGGACACGGAAAGUCGUCGCAAAGGCAAAAAGGCCAAGAAGAUCGGAAAUGACUGCCCUCCCGCGUGCUUCACUCUAAGUCAGGAGGAGAUCGAGCAGUUUUUCACCUGCCUCGUAGGAGUAAAACUUCCUUACGGUUACGCAGGGAAGAUAAGCAGAUACCUAGACUCAGCGAAGCAGAAGUUCAGUGGGAUGAAGUCUCACGACUAUCACGUGCUGAUGACGCAGAUACUUCCAGUUGCAAUCCGUGGGAUCAUGGACGCGCACUUCUGUGAAACGCUAUUUGGCCUAUGCAACUUUUUGGACGUCAUCUCUCGGAAGUCGGUUGGCGUGAGGCAACUCAGAAGGCCACAGGAAGAGAUCGUGGUGAUACUAUGCGAGCUUGAGAUGUACUUCCCGCCCGCAUUCUUCGACGUUAUGGUGCAUCUGCUGGUCCAUAUCGUGGAGGAUAUCAUCCAACUCGAGCCGACGUUCCUGCACAGCAUGAUGCCGUUUGAAAGGAUGAAUGGUGUCAUCAAAGGAUAUGUUCGCAACAUGUCACGUCCAGAGGGAAGCAUAGCCAAGGGCUUUCUGACCGAAUAGUGCAUCUCCUACUGCACGAAUUAUCUAGGCAUCGAGAACCCCGUUGGUCUGCCCGUCAACAGGCACCUCGGCAGGCUCGCUGGAUGGGGUCGCCGCGAGGGUCGCCGCGAAAUGCAUGUCGAUUUCAAGGUCGACUCGCCGACUUUGAAAGAGCAAGCCUAGUCACGCUACAACACAUAGACGUGGUCGAUCCUUGGGUGGUAGAGCACAAAACCUUUAUUGAGAAGAUGUACAAUGACAAAGGCCAACAGAGGACGGACGGAGAUAUAAUCAAAGAGCACAACUCAUGUUUCACGCGUUGGUUCAAGGAGAAGCUUCUGUCGUACCCUUUACAUGAGGAUUCUUCCGCGGAAGAAAAACUCAUAUUCGCCUUGUCACAGGGCGCCGAGCACAACCUGAUGACCUAUGAGGCGUACGAUAUCAAUGGCUACACAUUCUACACCGAGGAAAAGGACAUGAAGAGCGAUGAUUAUCAGAACUCCAGGGUAACGAUGGAAUCCUACACCGGUAACGACAAGGACAGAUACUACGGAAGGAUCGAGGAGAUCUGGGAGCUGAGCUACGCCGGAGAGAAGGUCCCGAUGUUCCGUGUCAGAUGGGCCAAGAGCGUCCUAAAAGAAGACCGUUAUUUCACCACCAUUGUUAUACCCGAAGCCAAAUCCAAGACCGCGGGCACAAACGUCACCGCGAAAAAUGAGCCAUGGGUACUGGCUUCCCAAGUGGACCAAUACUUCUUCAUUACCGACCCGUCAAAGCCCAGUCGUGUUGUCGUGAGGAGAGGCAAAAGGAAGAUCAUCGGAAUGGAUGGAGUCACCAAUGAGCAAGACUUCGACAAGUACGGCGACCCAAAGAUGGAACAUGACAACGACGAUGAAGUAUCAUACACCACAAGAAGAAGCAGGACCAUCCUACCUAAAGGACGUCCGUUCAAGAGAAGAACUCCAUUUGCGAAAAAGAAGGACAAGAAGAUUGUGAAAAGAUAGCUAAGAUCGAUUGUAUUUAAAUUGUAGUCUUCAUUUCUCGAUUGUAUUUCGACAUAUGGAAAUGACAUUUCUUCUGUUCUAGUCCUCUAUCCAGUAACCUGUUUGUUCAAAACAGUGGGGAUUAAUGUUGUCUGUACUUACCUUCCUUUAAUAUUUUGUAACUUCUCCAUCACCAACUUGAGGUAUCGACCACUUUCUUCUUGGAUUUGGAAUUUUUGUUCUUCUCCCUCUUGUUUUGUUGCAAAUCAUCAUUUACAGGCACCUUGGGCUUCUUUGUGUUUUCUUCUGGUAUUUUAAUUGUUUUUAUUUAUGUUUAUUCUGGUAAAAAAAGUUACUAAUGGCGCACCAGGAGAAGGUGCGCCAUUGCUAUCAAGGUACUUAUGGCGCACCCCUAGGAGGUGCGCCAUUGAUAUACCAUUUUUUAUUUAUGUUUAUUCUGGUAUUGAAUUUCUAACUCACAAAAAGUAUUGAAUUUGUUAAUAUUUUUUGAACUCAUGAAUAUUUUUAAAUUUCAUGGGCACUUUUUGAAUUCAUGAAUAUUUUUUCAAAUUUGAUGAUAUUUUUUCAUAUUCAUAAAUGUUUUACCAAUUCACAAAUGAAUGCAGCUAAAAAUCCAAAAAAAGAUAGUAAUGGCGCACCAGGAGAAGGUGCGUCAUUGCUAUCACGGUGUUUAUGGCGCACCCCUAGAAGGUGUGCCAUUGGUAUACGUAUUUUUAUGGCGCACCGCUAAAAGGUGCGCCAUUGCUAACCCUCCCCCCACUCCCACUUACUCCCCUCUCCCUCUGGCCUCUCUCCCUCCCUCGCCAGAUCCACCUCGCCCCACCUAACCCGACAACCCCCGCGGGAGCACGCCGCCGUCCGCCCGCGCCCGCUCCUGGCUCCCAAAUCCCCAAAUCCCCUCAAACCCUAGCCCCCCUGCCCACCCCACGAACCCUAGCCGCCCUUGCCCUCGAGCGUGAGCCGCAGCCAAUCCAGCCACCGGCGGGCCGGCGCGAGCAGCGGCCGGUCCAGCCACCGGCGGGGCGGUGCGAGCUGCAGCAGGUCCAACCACCGGCGGCGCGGCGCGAGCAGCGGCCGGUCCUACCACCGGUGGGGUGGCGCGACCUUGACCUCUCCAGGUACAGGGCCUCCCCACCGGCGGGGCUCCUGUGCUUCUCCACUCCGACGGUGCUUCCCCGCUCCGGCUCGCCCAACCCAGCAGCACACUCCACCACCACAUCUCUCUCUCUCUCUCUCUCUCUCUGCACCACCACACUCCACCGUUUCUCACUGUAUUUCUUAUGUUGUGGUGAAGGUUGCAGAGGUGGAAGGGAAGCACAGGACAAGCUGCUCACCGUUCGACCAUACACUCAGGACAAGGUGCUCACGGAGGUGCCCAAGUACAAGCAGACCAUCUUCUCCGUCCUCCCCUAGGUAACUUUAUCUUCAUCCCACAUCCAAGUAGGUGUUCCGUUUGAACUAAAUCCGAUUCAGUUUCUGGACAACUAAGUCUGUUUUUACUGAAGAAAAGUGGCGUUGCGGGAGUCUAGAUAGCUCUGCAAUAGUAGACUCAUGACGUGACCACGCAGCUCUAGUUCUGCCAGUCCCCAUUGAAAAUUCCGAAUCUUCAUUAGUUCUGCACUGGCUCUUAAUUUAAAUAUUUAAUCCUAUUGCUACACUUAAUUGAUGUACUACAUACACAUUAGUGUUGCCACAGUAAAGAAGAUGAGCAUGAGUAGAGGGACAUGGGGCUGUAGUGGCUGAAUUUCUGAGACACGGCCAGGGUUAUGGGGAGAGGAAGAGGUGGUGUCUGUAAAUGGUUUGUGUGAUCCUGGUUUGUGAGGGGCAGAUCAGAUCCCUGCUUUUGUUUGUUAGUGCUUGUUUAGUCUCCUGGGCUGUUUUGCCCUUUGUAUAUAUUGUGUUGGAUGGAGUGAAAGGGAGACAUGGUUGUGUUUUUUAUGUUUGAUGAGAAAAGAGAAUAUGAGUCUGGUGUAAGCCAUGGAUGAUGAUAUGAUAUUAGGGAAGAAAGAUCUUGUGCAGAUACACUCUGAUGCAUGGCACUGUCUCCUAGUUAAAUUUAGCAGCAUCUGGUUGUUGAGCCCAUAUUAUUUGUAAUAUUUAAUUGUUGCUAACGUUGGGUUAGUUCCCCCAUAGAGGAGGAGCUUUGGGUAGGGUACUGGUGCUAUACAAAGGUAUGCAUGAGUAGUAUAUGCUGGUGGUGUGGAUUAGUAAGUAGAUGAGAUCUUGUUUGUGACUAGCAGCCAUAGUUUAGUAGUAGUGGUUAGGCUGGUGUGGUGGGAUAGGAGUAGCCAUGUUGAAUUGUUGGGCAUUGGUCAGAGUGCCAACCAGUGGAAAAAAGGAGCAGAGGGAGUCCAGCCCCAUUUUCUCUUGAUUAAUUAUGGCAUUGUGUGUCAUAAUUUAAAAUUGCCCUGUUUAUUAGAAGUGUUAACCAUCACUUCUGGGUUGUAACCUUAGCUGUGUUUCAAUGCUUAAAGACUAUUAGCUGCAUAGUACUUUCCCUGUGCUGAUUGUUGUUUUUCCAUGCAUAGUUUAACAUUCUGUAAUUUCCAGGGAUCAAUUAGACCAUAUUGUUGUUCUUCAGCAUUUCACCUUUUUUGAUUCUAGCUGAAUCCAUCAAGUCUUAUGAAAAUACUCUGUGAACUGUGGGGUUGCUAUCAUUACCCAAUUUUGAUUAAUCGGCAUGUAUCUUGAUUGCCUGGCAUGAGCUAGAUGAAAUGAUCCGUUUCUCCUGAUGUGAAAUGACCCCUUUCUCCUGAAAUGUUGAUUAAUUUCCGUUUCGUUUGAGAAUGGGGCACUCCUAGGUCAAGAAAAUUAGCAAAGGUCAUGCCCAAUUUUCUUGACCUAGAAGGUGCCCGAUUCUCAACCGAAACAAAAAUUAAUCAGCAUGUAUCUUGACAUCAACCAACUUUCUGGACACAUCCCUCGACAACUAGGUUAUCUUGAGAACUUAGAGGAGUUGUGGCUUUGCUACAACACACUAACAGGUUCCAUCCCAAACUGCCUAGGAAAUUUGACCAAACUCACAACCUUGGAUCUUGAGAGCAACCAACUUUCUGGACACAUCCCUCGAGAACUAGGUUAUCUUGAGAACUUAGAGAAGUUGUUUGUUUGCUACAACACACUAACAGGUUCCAUCCCAAACAGCAUAGGCAAUUUGACCAAACUCACAGCCUUGUAUCUUUGCAGCAACCAACUUUCUGGACACAUCCCUCAAGAACUAGGUUACCUUGAGAACGUGGACUUGGACCUUAGCAACAACACACUAACAGGUUCCAUCCCAAAACACCUAGGCAAUAUCACAAACAUCUCUCAAUUGUUCCUUGACAAUAACUAACUUUUUGGCGACAUUCCUCGAGAAUUAGGUUAUUUGGUCAACUUAGAGAUCUUGUUCCUUGACAAUAACCAACUUUUUGGCCACAUUCCCCAAGAAUUAGGUUAUUUGGUCAACUUAUUGUCCUUAUCUCUUAGAAAUAAUUCACUGACAGGUCCCAUCCCAAAUAGCCUUGGAAAUUUGACCAAACUCACAACCUUGGAUCUUGAGAGCAACCAACUUUCUGGACACAUCCCUCGAGAACUAGUUGAUGUCAAGAUACAAGAUUCUGAGUUUGGUCAAAUUUCCUAUGCUGUUUGGGAUGGAACCAGUUGGUUAAUGUCAUCUGCAACCUACUGUUGAUGGCCUUGUGUUCCUGCUCCUUUUGCUGCUUUGUUAAGUCUAUUCACCUUUUUUGAAGAAUAGAUGCUACCCUGAUCUCAUCCAAUAACUCUAGUAGCCUUUUUUUCCUAUUUAGAGCGAACAUGGCCAACAACGAUGAGGCCGACGGUUCGGGCAAGCAAUUCUGGGAGCUGUCCAAGGAAAUGGAGGAAGAACCUCACCACUAUGAGGACGCCGCGGAAGACACCCAUCCCGACUACACAACCCCUAGUGGCGUCGGGGAUGACACCACUGAUGGUGCCGCCGAGGAUGCCACCACUGAUGAUGGCAGCGCACGCACAGAUGGCAGCCAACCGAAGAGGCAACGGAAGGACCGGCGCCCGAACGUGCUCGGCACCGUCAAGGAGGAAUUUACUGAAGUGUCCUCCAGUGGGCAUCCAACGGCUCCCAAAGAAUUAGUCAGUGGGUACGCGGCACAACUCGGGUGCAUUCUCCGGAGCACCGUCUCGAUCAACACCGAGAACCUAAGGCAUCGUGACCGAGGGAAUUUGCGCAACCUCCUCUUCACGAAGCUGCACGAACGAUACAAGUUCCCCGAUGACUUCGCAAACACACGCCUCUCAGGGAAUAAAGUGAACAGUGCUGCCCUCACAAAGAUGAGCACGGCCCUGGCUACAUGGAGAGCCGCGGUGAAGAGAAGGAUUCUAAGAGGUGAUAGUUAUGAGAAGAUCAAGGAGAAAAAUCCUUCGAUUAGCGAAGCUGACUACCUGGAGUUCAAGAUCAAGUGCGAGAGCAACGCAUCUGCGGAAUCAAGUCAGUGGGGGAAAGAUAUGCGGGACUUGAACUUAGGGGUCCACAAACUUGGUCCCGACGGUUACAGAGUGGCGGAACCUAUAUGGGACAAGGAGGACGCGGAGCGUGCCGAACAAGGCCUACCGCCCCUCUUCGAUAAAUACCGUGACAAGCAGACCAGGAACUAUGUCAGGGCCCGGUACAAGGUGGACCCGGUAACAAAGGAGCUUACCACGGAUCCGAAGACCAAGGCGCUUGAGCUUGUUUUGAUAAGGAAUACACCCCCGCGUAAUUAGCUCCAUAUGGUUGCAUUCUAAUUAAUGAAGCCAAAUUUCUAAAUGGUUCACGUUCCUUCCGCAGGACACUGAAAGCAGUAGCGCAGGGUCGUCUCAGCUCCCCUUGGGAUACCACUUUAAAUAGGGCGUUGAACGUAAUGAAACACAAGGAUAAGUUCAGUAAGCCAUCGUCAGCUGGUCCUGUGGCCGGCAAAGGCUUGUCCAUGAAAUGGUCGGAAUACUAUAACACUGGGCGAAAGGAGAGAAAGCCCUGCUCGGAAAGCCAGGAGCGCGAGGUUCAAGAACUCAAGGCACAAGUGGCGCGGAUUCCGGAGAUAUUCGAAGAGCAAGUGCGAGACCAACUGGGAGCGACGAUCACCGCCAUUGUGCCUACCUUCAUUGAGGGGCUGCAGGCGUGGAUUGCGGGCGGCCAACAGGGGCCGCCCCCGAUUCCCAGCUUCACGGGCAGCAACUCGCACAACGCGCCGGCGCCAUUGGUGUCUCGGGCGGAGGCGGCAUUGGUGUCUCCGGCGUCGGCGCCGGCAUUGGAGCUUAAUGCACCCGGGUGUGGGAAGAAUACACCGGCCGGCACCUCGGCAGCAAGCGGCCCCUCCGUCACUUGCACGCCCGCUGUUGGCGGUGCCUCGACAUUAGCCGAGCUCGACGCCAUCACGGUAACUAAGCCUCUCGACCGAUGACUUCAUCUCCUUGCCUUUGACUCGGCAUCCCUGACGCCCUACAUGUUUUCACAGGGCACCGCCGACGUUCCAUGCACUCUCCUGCACUUCGUGGACGGCGAGUUGAUCGAUGUCGCCAAGGCCAGAAUCGUUCAACCGGGCAACCACGUGUUCCACUGUAAUCCGAUGCCACCCACCGUGUAUAGGGUUCAACUGGUUCGGGUGCUGCGGGGCUGCGUCGACCUGUUACCUCCGUAUCGACCCCCUGGGGCCGACGAAGAUGAUGUGAUGACCCUCAGCGCCUGCAUAAGCUGGUCCAUGCUUUGGCCGAAGAGCCAGAUUCGUUUGGGGCGGGGGACACCACCCCACAGACAACACCGCCAGUCGUGCCGACGCCAAGCCAUGGCAAGACCGCCGCAACGCUACCGCCGUCAGCUGAUCCGGACAUGCAUAUGGCACAGGAUCCGGACGACGACGACGGUACAUUUACCAACGUCGAUAAGUACUUCAACGAACAUGGGUACGAUGACGAAUUCUUGGGGCCUCCUUCUCAAGAACCCAACCCUGCAAAAGACGAUCGCGAUCUAGUUGGUACCGCGGAGAAACCCAAUUGCAACAGGCGUCGUCUGGCGUUCAGUUCUCAGGAGACGCCUCCAGCUGUCGCCUUCACCGAGCGUCAGAUAGCCGAGGUGCGAAAUAUUAUCAGCCCCAACACACUCAAGAAGGUGGUCUCUGAGCAGAACUCGAUCCCAUUACAGCAGAAGAAGCAGAAGGGACGAAAAAGAAAAAAUAACAAGGGUGGAGCCAGCCGGCUCCGAGUACGAUCCGUGCUCAGGACGGGCCACCUUCACCUAAGGAUAUCUCGAGAGGGUGCAUGUGGCGGGUAGGCUGAUGCUACCGACUAAUCUGCUCAAUGCUGCAACCGGUGCUAUGCGGAGUCUGCAUGACAGUGUUCUUUCUUUGGAGAAACGGCGUCUCUCCGAGAAUGAUGUGGCAUACCCGGUUUUCAUGGCCAAGGUGCCAUAGGGCAAGGGCUUUGUCGAUAGCACCAUCGGGGGUAUGAUCGUCCUGCGGUUUGAUGACGUCUUCGCUAUGUUUAACCUUCAUCCACUGCACUACACCUUCAUUCGGCUAUUUUCGCUCAGUAUGAAGAUGUGGAUCAUUAGAGACAAGACCCCGGACAUCGUGAUAGUCGACCCCUUCUACAUGUGUGCCAAGAUCUUGGGCAGCGCUGGGGACCGGCAAGUCGCGAGUUCAUACCUCGAAGGCGUCAUUCUGGCGAACCCAGAUAAGGAUAACUUCCUCGUGCCUUACUUUCCCGAGUAAGUCAUCCCCUCACCGCCCCGUAAUAUGAUUUCUUAGAUUUCGAUCGUUCUUUUUUUCCUAACAUUCCGUGUUUUGUGCGGUGACACACAUUGCACAUUUAUCCUCUUAAGCCCGAAAUAUUCCAUGGCCACGUAUUUCGACUCAGACCGUCAGUCGAAGAAAGACUACACAAAUAUCAAGAAAGUUCUUGAUGAUGCUCUCCCCGACUACGCCAAAUGUGGAGGCACCUUCAGGAGGCCAAUUUGUAGUUACGGCAAACACGUGUUCACCCACGUAACGACGUUCCCCUGCGUCAAGCAGCCGCCUGGCGGUCAGAAGGAUGCCUACUACGCCUCCAUCACAUGCGGGCGAUCGUACGGGACCAUAAUCACCUUCUGCUACCAACUAAUCUCAAAGAUUGGGCCGCACGCUUGUCGGCAAUCCAGGACGCGGACAUCAGACAAGAAUUCUUUCGCAUCCAGUCGGAGUUUGCGGAAAUCAUCCAUCAAGAUGUCCUUCGUACCUCGGGGCAGUUCUACCUCAAAUAUCAACCGUCCAACAGUGAAAUAGAAACAACGCUACAAAUGCAGGCUGACAACGAUCGCGAUUUUAUGACCAUCACGAAAGACGGCGGCUUCAUCCACGCUCCAGUCCCUGAGUCGAGUCGAAAGUAAUGAUGCUAUGUAGUUCUGAAAUAUCGAUUAGCUCAUGUUGUAAUUAAACUUUAAUGAACUUGUAUGUCUCUUUAGUUUGGACAGUCGUUCAACUUAUAUGUAAUCGAUGCUAUUUAUUAAUAGGAUCAUGAAUCGUGCUAUUAAUGUGUUGCUUUUCUCUUCCGAUCCUUUUGUUGCAUACUUAUAUAUUGUCUGUGAAUUGCUACUAACGUUUUGUUUGUCUAGUGCAUAGAGAUGCCGUCGUAUGUCGUGUACAAGGGUAAGGUUCCCGGAGUCUACGACGACUGGGAGGAGUGUCGGAGACAUGUUCACCGUUUCAGCGGUAACAGUUACAAAGGGUACACUACUAGGGCGGAGGCGAAAGCUAGAUACGCGCGCUAUCUAACGGGAGAGAGGAGGGAGCGGAGGAGGAACCGGAUGAAGACCAGUUUCAUCGCGAUGAUGCUCAUCGUGACCACAGCUCUCUUCUAUGUGAUGGUAGUUUAGAUGAUCGAUAUCGACUUUGUAAUGUGACGACAAACUCCGCUAAUAUAUAUGAUGAACUUUGGUAAUGUCUCGAGACCUUAACUUGGCUAAUGUUUGAACUUUGUUUGCUAUUUCGAAUUUGGAGACUAAUAUGAUGAAUUCUAUUGUGUGAUGUUUAUAUUCUGUGCUGUGUGACGUGUAUUUUAUAACCUGUGCAAAUACCAGAUAUUUUGUAACCUGUGCAAAUACCAAAAAAGCAAAAAAAAAAAUUCCUAAUAUUCAUAGUAGUAGCGCACCAUAUUGAGCAUUAGUGGCGCACCAGGGCUAAAUACCACUGGCGCAUUAUAGGGCAUAGUAAUGGCGCACUUGGGUGCAUACGUGAAGGUAAAUAUGCCCCCCUAGGAGACAUAGUAAUGGCGCACUGUUAAACAUAGUAAUGGCGCACUACCAGAUGCGCCACUAUUAUCUAGGAUACUAAUGGAGGUGCGCCAUUAUUAUUUGUUACUAGUGGCAUGUUAAUAGUGGCGCACCUAUAGUGCACCAUUAAUAGCAAAAACAGGUGCGCCACUAAACAGCUUUUUUCUAGUAGUGCCAGGGUCGCGCAAGUGCUAGACAUGCCAUCACAAGCACCAUUACGGCUCCUGAUCCAGAUCCCCUCCUUCACCGUAUGAUGCCACUUGAAAAUAGACCAUUUUACUGGGUGGGAAAAAGCAUGGCUCAUAGGCACUGUGGAGGCUCCAUCCUUUGCACAAAGGUGUAGAAAAGGCAACUCAUCUCCAAACAAAAUAACUUGAAAUAAUUCUUUCUUUGAAACUGCUUAAUUUAAAUGCAUGCAGCUCUUUAUUUGUUUAGGAUGUAUGCAAGAAUUUCUAGUAAGUUCUACAUGGAAAGAACUGAACACAACUCGACAGCAAGACAAUCUCAUGUUUAAGUUGAAAUUGAAACUGUAUGCUCAAUAUUUAUGAAAUUGGACGCUCAAUAUGUGUCUAACCAUAUCUAUCACGGGCCUUUGUCACAGAAACAGGGUAAGUAAUCGAGUAGCAAUACCACAUCACCAUGGGUAAGCAGUCCUAUUUAUUUUCAUAAUAAAUACACCAUCACCAAGGAACAUACUCAGUUUUGAAGCAAUGUGUAUAUCCUAUUAUAAUGUUUGGCAACUGAUCAUAAACACUAAGGAGCAAAGCAAGUGUGCACGAGUCCUUUUUAGUAUACAGAACAUCAUCCUACCAUUAGAAGCAAGAAAAAAAAUCACCUGCCACCUGAGCUCUGAUUUUCACAUGGCUAAAACAUUUUGCAAUUCAUAUAUAAACCCAAAACAAUAUAAUGAUACAUUUAUAAAACUCUCUGCCGUUCAUGUAUAAACCAAAAUCAAUAUAGUGAUGCAUUCCUAAAACCCGUUGCAAUUGAUGUAUAAACCUUUUAGGAGUAUUGUAGAUUUUUCCUAAACACGUAUCUAGCAAGAAAGCAGACGGGCGCACAGCGUCCUGCCGACGCUGCCGGACCAAGGACCCAUGUGUCCCCCGCCCCCAUAAACCAGGCCAUGCACCACAGGUCCUGCACCGCGCCAGAUCUGGCCGGGCAAACGCCUGCCGGCCACCACCAAAGCAGGGAAGACCCCGCAGCCGCCACAAAUCACCGGGCCACAGGGGGAGAGCGGUGAAGUGUGAACCUGGAACCCCGACGGAGUCGAGAUGAAGGCGGCAAAGCUCCGACAAUGGCCAUCACAUGAUAAAUAAAGGGAAAAAACCCAAAUUAGCGGAUCUUCUACGCAUAUCCACUGCUAUAGAUUCAAAUAACACUAAUCGGAAAGCAAGGAUGUAGCUUUACAGGACCAACCAGUAGCUAAGAAAUCAGGGGCUAAACAAUUAUCUUGUCUAAGAGCUAGUACAUACUACAGAAUGAAUACUGCAACAAGAAUUAAUAGAACACUUGACCAGUCCAACCAAAUUAAUAGGUUAUAAUACUACACCAUGUCUUGACCAGCUCCAAACUAAAUUCUAUUUGGAUUUUGUGUAAACGAAGCCUAGUUAUACUACUACAAUAACCUAGAACCACUAAAGCACCCACAAACAUUCACAGUAUCCUCAUCUUGAUGAAAGCAAAAAUGUAUCAUAUAGCACGCACGCACACAAAUACUCACAGUAUCCUCAUCUUGAUGAAAGCGAAAAUGUAUAAUAUAGCACGCGCGCACACAAACAGUCACAUUAUCCUCAUCUUGCUGAAAGCAAAAAAUGUAAAUACAUACCUUGACCUGGAACAGUAUGGUCCAGUUUCAGUUGACAGUCUUGAUGAUUCAUGUUGGCCUUUAGAUAUGUUUUUGAACAACAAUUUUUCUUGCUGCUUGUAGAAGACAACAUCCUUCACAUAACCACCAUCUAAGCACUCCGCCAAUGGAAGGCCAUCAGUGAUACAGGCUAUCAUUGUCAGCUUCACCAUUUCAAAAAGAUAACAAGACACAAGCAAAAGUGCCACCUGCACAAAAAAGCAGAGGAGAGCUAGUAAAUACUUGUAACACUAGUGCACUUUGAGCUUGGAUGCGUCGCGACAGCCAAGCCUUGCCGCAUACCAUCAUUUACAUGACUAAGCAAAC
rnacentral:lncRNA from 1 species